GACGGGGGAUGCAAGCGUUAUCCGGAAUCACUGGGCGUAAAGCGUCUGUAGGUGGUGAUGCAAGUCACUGGUGCAAAACUCUGGCUCAACCGGAGGAAAGCCAGUGAAACUGCAUGACUAGAGUGUGGGAGAGGUAGAAGGAAUUCCCUGAGUAGCGGUGAAAUGCGUAGAUACAGGGAAGAACACCGGAGGCGAAAGCGUUCUACUGGAACACAACUGUCACUGCGAGACGACAGCUAGGGGAGCGAAUGGG
rnacentral:rRNA from 1 species